UAGAGGUUGAUCAUGGCUCAGAUUGAACGCUGGCGGCAGGCCUAACACAUGCAAGUCGAACGGUAACAUUUCUAGCUUGCUAGAAGAUGACGAGUGGCGGACGGGUGAGUAAUGCUUGGGAACUUGCCUUUGCGAGGGGGAUAACAGUUGGAAACGACUGCUAAUACCGCAUAAUGUCUUCGGACCAAACGGGGCUUCGGCUCCGGCGCAAAGAGAGGCCCAAGUGAGAUUAGCUAGUUGGUAAGGUAACGGCUUACCAAGGCGACGAUCUCUAGCUGUUCUGAGAGGAAGAUCAGCCACACUGGUGACUGAGACNCCANACUCCUACGGGAGGCAGCAGUGGGGAAUAUUGCAAAUGGGGGAAACCCUGAUGCAGCCAUGCCGCGUGUGUGAAGAAGGGCUUCGGGUUGUAAAGCACUUUCAGUUGUGAGGAAAAGUUAGUAGUUAAUACCUGCUAGCCGUGUACGUUAACAACAGAAGAAGCACCGGCUAACUCCGUGCCAGCAGCCGCGGUAAUACGGAGGGUGCGAGCGUUAAUCGGAAUUACUGGGCGUAAAGCGCACGCAGGCGGUUUGUUAAGCUAGAUGUGAAAGCCCCGGGCUCAACCUGGGAUGGUCAUUUAGAACUGGCAGACUAGAGUCUUGGAGAGGGGAGUGGAAUUCCAGGUGUAGCGGUGAAAUGCGUAGAUAUCUGGAGGAACAUCAGUGGCGAAGGCGACUCCCUGGGCCAAAGACUGACGCUCAUGUGCGAAAGUGUGGGUAGCGAACAGGAUUAGAUACCCUGGUAGUCCACACCGUAAACGCUGUCUACUAGCUGUGUGUGCCUUUAAGGCGUGCGUAGCGAAGCUAACGCGCUAAGUAGACCGCCUGGGGAGUACGGCCGCAAGGUUAAAACUCAAAUGAAUUGACGGGGGCCCGCACAAGCGGUGGAGCAUGUGGUUUAAUUCGAUGCAACGCGAAGAACCUUACCUACACUUGACAUGCUGAGAAGUUACUAGAGAUAGUUUCGUGCCUUC
rnacentral:rRNA from 1 species